AGCAGCCGCGGUAAUUCCAGCUCCAAUAGCGUAUAUUAAAGUUGUUGUGGUUAAAAAGCUCGUAGUUGAACCUUGGGCCUGGCUGGCCGGUCCGCCUCACCGCGUGUACUGGUCCGGCCGGGCCUUUCCCUCUGUGGAACCCCAUGCCCUUCACUGGGUGUGGCGGGGAAACAGGACUUUUACUGUGAAAAAAUUAGAGUGCUCCAGGCAGGCCUAUGCUCGAAUACAUUAGCAUGGAAUAAUAGAAUAGGACGUGUGGUUCUAUUUUGUUGGUUUCUAGGACCGCCGUAAUGAUUAAUAGGGACAGUCGGGGGCAUCAGUAUUCAAUUGUCGGAGGUGAAAUUCUUGGAUUUAUUGAAGACUAACUACUGCGAAAGCAUUUGCCAAGGAUGUUUUCAUUAAUCAGGAACGAAAGUUAGGGGAUCGAAGACGAUCAGAUACCGUCGUAGUCUUAACCAUAAACUAUGCCGACUAGGGAUCGGACGGUGUUAUUUUUGACCCGU
rnacentral:rRNA from 1 species